GUAAGGGAUAUUGCGACAAUGGGCGAAAGCCUGACGCAGCAACGCCGCGUGCGGGAUGACGGCCUUCGGGUUGUAAACCGCUUUUCUGGGGGAAGAGGAAGGACGGUACCCCAGGAACAAGUCUCGGCUAACUACGUGCCAGCAGCCGCGGUAAAACGUAGGAGGCGAACGUUAUCCGGAUUUACUGGGUGUAAAGCGCGUGCAGGCGGUCACGUAAGUCGUGUGUGAAAGCGCUCAGGCUCAACCGGGCGAGGACAUGCGAGACUGCGAGACUAGAGGGAGGUAGAGGCGUGUGGAAUUCCGGGUGUAGUGGUGAAAUGCGUAGAGAUCCGGAGGAACACCAGUGGCGAAGGCGACACGCUGGGCCUUUUCUAACGCUAAGACGCGAAAGCAUGGGGAGCGAACGGGAUUAGAAACCCCGGUAGUCC
rnacentral:rRNA from 1 species